rnacentral:rRNA from 1 species
GAUGAACGCUGGCGGCGUGCCUAAUACAUGCAAGUCGAGCGAACAGACGAGGAGCUUGCUCCUCUGACGUUAGCGGCGGACGGGUGAGUAACACGUGGAUAACCUACCUAUAAGACUGGGAUAACUUCGGGAAACCGGAGCUAAUACCGGAUAAUAUAUUGAACCGCAUGGUUCAAUAGUGAAAGACGGUUUUGCUGUCACUUAUAGAUGGAUCCGCGCCGCAUUAGCUAGUUGGUAAGGUAACGGCUUACCAAGGCGACGACGCGUAGCCGACCUGAGGGGGUGAUCGGCCACACUGGAACUGAGACACGGUCCAGACUCCUACGGGAGGCAGCAGUAGGGAAUCUUCCGCAAUGGGCGAAAGCCUGACGGAGCAACGCCGCGUGAGUGAUGAAGGUCUUCGGAUCGUAAAACUCUGUUAUUAGGGAAGAACAAAUGUGUAAGUAACUAUGCACGUCUUGACGGUACCUAAUCAGAAAGCCACGGCUAACUACGUG